CCAGAGGUGGCUGAGUGGCAGAAAGCAGGGGACUGAUACUCCCCAAACCGCGCAAACGGUUCACGGGUUCGAAUCCCGUCCUCUCCGCAA
rnacentral:tRNA from 1 species